UACGGAGGGUGCAAGCGUUGUUCGGAAUCACUGGGCGUAAAGCGCGUGUAGGCGGCCUGUUAAGUCAGGUGUGAAAUCCCUUGGCUCAACCAAGGAACUGCAUCUGAAACUAGCUGGCUUGAGUACGGGAGAGGGGAGUGGAAUUCCCGGUGUAGAGGUGAAAUUCGUAGAUAUCGGGAUGAACACCGGUGGCGAAGGCGUCUCUCUGGACCGAUCCUGACGCUGAGACGCGAUAGCGUGGGGAGCAUACAGG
rnacentral:rRNA from 1 species